UGCCGGGCGGCGCUAGUGUCAUUCCACAGUGUACAAUGUAGGUUUGCAUGCGGGAAUUUGUCCAUUUUUAUACCUCCUGUCUCGCCUGAAACCAUUAGUGUGGAGGUAUUCGUGUUGACUUGUGAGGUUGUGGGUGUGACACCAUGGAGGUGUAACCAUGUAGUGUGUCGUGACGCCGCCCACACCCUUCCUACCCUCACCCACAGCUGUCACUGCAAGGCGAGAAGACUCAGUGGAAAAAGGAGAAGGUGCCGAGGCCAGAUGCAACAAACAAUAACACACUACAUCAUAUGAUAGAGUAACACCAGUCAUUAUGUGGGUCCCACUCCUCUCGCAACUGAUACUAUGGUAACAAAGAGAAAUCUCAGUUCUGUGUAGUACUGCAGCUGACAGUGACGCAAAAUACGAGUAUUUGUAAUAUUUUAACCCCUAUCGUUAUUAUAAUUGUAUUUAAAAAACUUUAAUCCUAAUAGGUCAUUCAUCACUGACUACUAUUAAUAACAUUGAUUUUGAAUCUUUGUUCUUAGUGGGUUUUCUUUCGGAAUUUUUUUUACGUUAAUAUGAAGUUCUGAAGUUAACAGAGAAAUUGUUAAUUUCGUCAUGAUGUAUUAAUUCUGCUGCUUCAAGUGGCAUGAGGCUUGUGAAGUUUCAAGUUUUUAAGAUGUUAAACAUCAUUUGUGAAUUAUGCGUGAAUAAAACAUUGCAUUUUGAUAAUUUAAAUCAAAAUAAACAUUAAUCAUUAGUAAUUGCCUCCUCAUGAUGAUUGAUCUGUUAUGAUCAUUAGUUGUUGCUACAUAUUGUUACCGAAUUAGUUGUUAUAUAUUGUUACCUCAUUAGUUAUGUUGUUACAUGAUGUUACCAUGUGACUUCACUUUGUAUUCUGAAGUGUGUAUCUCUCCAUGUGUAUGCCGCUCA